CCGGCCAGAAACGGCUAAUAGGAAGGGCUGAGGGGUUCUGUGUUCAAGGCAGAAGGCCGUGCGUCAGGGCGGCCCUCAGCGGAGAUGCGUGCACGGAGCGGGGAGCGCCGCUCGGGGCAGGGAAUGAAAGCGGCGCUUGAGACUGGAAAUUUAGGGAGAUGAGUUCCUUGGGAACAACGCUGAACCAUCUCACUGCCCCACCCUACCCCUUGUUAUUUUUUUUUGAGACAGGUCUCGCGCUGUCGUCCAGUCUGAGUGCAGUGACGCGAUCACGGCUCACUGCAGCCUCGACCUCCGGGGCUUACGGGUCAUCCCACCUCAGCCCUCUAAGUAGCUGGCACCACGGGCAUGCACCACCACACCCGGCUAAUUUUUUAAAAAAAGUUUUUCCGGAGAUAGGGUCUCGCUGUGUUACCCAGGCUGGUCUCGAACCCCUGGCCUGAAGCGAUCCUCCCGCCUCGGCCUCCCAAAGUGCUGGGAUUACAGGCGUGAGCCACUGCGCUCGGCUUUUCACCCCUUUCUAACGUUUUCCAUCCCUUUCUAACGUUUUCCAUACCCAGCGGUGCCCUGCCCACCCUCUCUUUAUCUCUCACUUUUCCCUCCUCUGUUUCUUCCUCGCUGAAGUCCAUUGGUGAAAGAAAAUUCAUGUGAAAGUUCUCAGAGUCGUCCUUGUCUACUCCACUACCAAAUGUUGAAGUUCUUCAAGAAUCAGUCCUUUGGAGGCAUUUAAGGAAAUCUGUUUCUCUUUUGGAUCACUAGCUGCAAAUUAAGCUAACAGAACAGGAGCUCAGCUGGUCACACACAGCAACGAAUACAGACUUUAUAAAGUUCAGAAAAGUUACCAAACAGUGGUAACCAUAACAAGUACCAACAAUGAACUAUGGGGAGGGAGGAGAAUCUGAUUUCCAGAGUUACCACAUUAUAAUACUAUUCAAAAUGUCACAUUUUUAGCAAAGAUUACAUGACAAGGAAAAACCAGAAAAGUAUGGCCCAUACACAGGUAAAAAAAGAAAUUAAUAGAAACUACCCCUGAAGAAGCACAGACUUCGGAUGUACAAAACAAAGACUUUUCAUCAACUCUUUUAGAUAUGCUAGAAGAGCUAAAGGAAACCAUGGACAGAGAACAAAAAAAUUAGGAAAGCAAUGUCUCAUCCAAUACAGAAUAUCAAUAAAGAGAUUGAAAUUGUAGAAAAGAACCAAAUAGAAAUUCUGGAGUUGAAAAGUAUUAUAACUAAAACUGAAAAUUCACUAGAGGUAUUCAGCAGCAGACUGGAGAAGUCAGAAGAAAGAAUCAACAGGCUUCAAGAUAGGUCAAUUAAGAUUAUACAGUCUGAGGAGCAGAAAGGAAAAAGAAUGAAGAAAAAUGAACAGAGCAUAAAAGACCUCUGGGACUCUAUCAAGCAUACCAGUAUAUGCAUGAGGGGAGUCCCAGAAGGAGAAGAAAGAGAGAAAGGGACAUAAUAUUUGAAGAAAUAAUGGUAGAAAAUGUCCCAGCUUUGAUGAAAUACAUGAAUCUAGAUAUUCAAGAGGCUCAAAGAACCCUAAAUAGGGUAAACUCAAAAAGACCCACACCGGAAUGCAAAAGUGAGCUGGGUGUGGUGGCACGUGCCUGUGGUCCCAGCUACUCGAGAGGCUAAGGCAGGAAAAUCGCUUGAACCCAGGAGGCAGAGAUUGCGGUGAGCCGGGAUUGCGCCAGUGCACUCCAGCUGGGCGACAGAGCGAGAUUCCAUCUCGAAAAAAAAAAAAAAAAAAAAAAAAAACUAUUGCUGCAGUCAUUCAGAUGGAAAUGGGGAAAGAAUAAUAUUAACUGAUUUCAAAAAGGACUUGAAGAUGUGAAUCAUCUAUUUUGCUGAAGAAAUCUUAACUCUUUGAAAUUACUUUUUGUUGCUGUUGUCAUACUCUUAGGUGCCAAACUGCGGUAAAUUUUUUAUCAGUGAAGUGGAAGCAUGUGUUUUGUUGUUUUGGGAAUUUUUAUCAAGUAUCUUCAGAGAAGAUUAUUUCCUGCUUUAUCUUCAAAAACUGGAAAGGAAGGGUCAAAGAAAAGACAGUAGCUGGCCGGUCAUGGUGGCUCAUGCCUGUAAUCCCAACACUUUGGGAGGCUGAGGUGGGCAGAUCACCUGAGGUUGGGAGUUCGAGGCCAGCCUGACCAACGUGGAGAAAUGCCAUCUCUACUAAAGAUGCAAGGAUUGGCCGGGCGUGGUGGUGCGUGCCUGUGAUCCCAGCUGCUCAGGAGGCUGAGGCAGGAGAAUCGCUUGGACCUGGGAGGUGGAGGUUGCGGUGAGCUGAGAUCACGCCAUUGCACUCCAGCCUGGGCAACAAGCGAAACUCUGUCUCAAAAAAAAAGAAAAGACAGUAGCUUAUGUUCAUGUCAAGCACCUCUCAUCACAGUCUAGUUCCAAGGAAAAAAUUCCCAGCGUUUUCUACAUUCGGUGCUGCGUCAUCUGAAAUCGGCACAUUCCAUGGAGGAAGGAGUCCUGCUUUGUUGCAUGUAUCCUAGGGUUUAAUGUUGGUAAAUGAGUCACUCUAGCAUUUGUAGAAGGCUCCCUGAGACUCCUGCAGCAGUCGACCAAGCCCAAGGACAUAAUUGAAUCUGGAGAGUCCUGGGGCCUUGUUUUGAAAAAGACUUGAAAUACACAUAGGAAGAAAGGC
rnacentral:lncRNA from 1 species